rnacentral:rRNA from 1 species
UACGGGGGGAGCAAGCGUUGUUCGGAUUUACUGGGCGUAAAGGGCGCGUAGGCGGCCACCGCAAGUCGACUGUGAAAUCUCCGGGCUUAACCCGGAAAGGUCAGCCGAUACUGCGGGGCUAGAGUGCAGAAGGGGCAACUGGAAUUCUCGGUGGUAGCGGUGGAAAUGCGUAGAUAUCGAGAGGAACACCUGCGGCGAAGGCGGGUUGCUGGGCUGAUACUGACGCUGAGGCGCGAAAGCCAGGGGAGCGAACGGG